GAUGAACGCUGGCGGCGUGCCUAAUACAUGCAAGUCGAGCGAACAGACGAGGAGCUUGUUCCUCUGACGUUAGCGGCGGACGGGUGAGUAACACGUGGAUAACCUACCUAUAAGACUGGGAUAACUUCGGGAAACCGGAGCUAAUACCGGAUCAUAUAUUUAACCGCAUGGUUCAAUAGUGAAAGACGCUUUUGCUGUCACUUAUAGAUGGAUCCGCGCCGGCUUAGCUAGUUGGUAAGGUAACGGCUUACCAAGGCAACGAUGCGUAGCCGGGCUGAGAGGGUGAUCGGCCACACUGGAACUGAGACACGGUCCAGACUCCUACGGGAGGCAGCAGUAGGGAAUCUUCGACAAUGGGCGAAAGCCUGACGGAGCAACGCCGCGUGAGUGAUGAAGGUCUUCGGAUCGUAAAACUCUGUUAUUAGGGAAGAAAAGAUGUGUGAUUAACCAUGCACGUCUUGACGGUACCUAAUCAGAAAGCCACGGCUAACUUCGUG
rnacentral:rRNA from 1 species